UUUAUAUUUAACAUAAGUUACAAAAGAAGCGACAGAAUUGAGUGUUGUUUCAAAAGUUUGACUUGAAACUAGACAAAUCCAAUAGACAGAACUACUUUAUUAUAAUGUUUAUUUGCAUAUCGACCUUCCAAACUUUCUGUGUGUCACCAAACUAUAAACAAGUCAUGAAAGUCUCUCAAGGUUUGUCGCGACAUUGUUGUUCUAUCUUCGAGUGCAAUCCGAAUAUUCAAUAAUAGACAAAUGACAGCACUAAUAGAAAGCAGAAGAAGAACGCCAAUAGAUUUUCGAGUUUGCCCUCAACUAUUACCGGUGCACAUCAUAAACAUACAUAUAGUACGUAUGUAUAUAUGUAGUAUGUAUAAAUAUAGUGAGCGAAAGGGUAGAAAGAGUCUCGACACCCACCCGUUGAUUGACCUUGAACUUUUGCCAGCGUAGUCUGAGUCUGAAUACAUUCAUUGGCCAUGUAUUUGUACACUCGUAUCAGCGAAAGCCCAACCAAAAAUUUGAUGUGCUGCUGGCGAUGCAAAGCAGACUCCCCCAAAGUGAAAGAGAAAAGAAUCCCC